rnacentral:rRNA from 1 species
UACGUAGGGUGCAAGCGUUGUCCGGAAUUAUUGGGCGUAAAGAGCUCGUAGGCGGUUUGUCGGCGUCUGCUGUGAAAACUCGGGGCUUAACCCCGGGCCUGCAGUGGGUGACGGGCAGACUAGAGUGCGGUAGGGGAGACUGGAAUUCCUGGUGUAGCGGUGAAAUGCGCAGAUAUCAGGAGGAACACCGGUGGCGAAGGCGGGUCGCUGGGCCGUAACUGGACGGCUGGAGGAGCGAAAGCGUGGGGAGCGAAACAGG